rnacentral:rRNA from 1 species
CCUACGGGAGGCUGCAGUGGGGGAUAUUGCACAAUGGGGGGAACCCUGAUGCAGCGACGCCGCGUUGGUGAAGGAGCGUUUCGGCGCGUAAAGCCCUAUCGGCAGGGAAGAAGAUGACGGUACCUGACUAAGAAGCCCCGGCUAACUACGUGCCAGCAGCCGCGGUCAUACGUAUGGGGCAAGCAUUAUCCGGAUUUACUGGGUGUAAAGGGGGCGCAGACGGCGGUGCACGCCAGGUGUGAAAGCCUGGGGCGAAACCCCGGGACUGCAUUUGGAACUGGGCUGCUAGAGUGUCGGAGAGGCAGGCGUAAUUGCUAGAGUAGCGGGGAAAUGCGUAGAUAUCACGAAGAACCCCGACUGCGAAGGCAGCCAGCCGCAGCGUUACUGACGCUGAAGUGCGAAAGCGUGGGUAUCGAACAGGAUUAGAUACCCAAGUAGUC